rnacentral:rRNA from 1 species
UGAGGAAUAUUGCGCAAUGGGGGAAACCCUGACGCAGCGAUGCCGCGUGAGUGAAGAAGGCCUUCGGGUCGUAAAGCUCUGUCAAACGGGAAGAACAGUCUGGGGACGAAUAAUCUCCGGGCCUGACGGUACCGUUGAAGGAAGCACCGGCUAACUCCGUGCCAGCAGCCGCGGUAAGACGGAGGGUGCGAGCGUGAUUCGGAUUUAUUGGGCGUAAAGAGUGUGUAGGCGGGCGAUCAAGUCUGAUGUGAAAGCCCGGGGCUUAACCUCGGAAGGGCGUUGGAAACUGGUCGGCUUUAGUUCGGGAGAGGAAAGCGGAAUUCCGGGUGUAGAGGUGAAAUUCGUAGAUAUCCGGAGGAACACCGGUGGCGAAGGCGGCUUUCUGGACCGAAACUGACGCUGAGACACGAAAGCGUGGGGAGCAAACAGG